CUGCUCCUAGUACGAGAGGACCGGAGUGGACGCAUCACUGGUGUUCGGGUUGUCAUGCCAAUGGCACUGCCCGGUAGCUAAAUGCGGAAGAGAUAAGUGCUGAAAGCAUCUAAGCACGAAACUUGCCCCGAGAUGAGUUCUCCCUGAGACUUUAAGUCUCCUGAAGGAACGUUGAAGACGACGACGUUGAUAGGCCGGGUGUGUAAGCGCAGCGAUGCGUUGAGCUAACCGGUACUAAUGAACCGUGAGGCUUAACCUUACAACGCCGAAG
rnacentral:rRNA from 3 species